rnacentral:rRNA from 1 species
GAUGAACGCUAGCGGCAGGCCUAACACAUGCAAGUCGAGGGAGAAGCCCUUCGGGGCAGAAACCGGCGCACGGGUGCGUAACGCGUAUGCAACCUACCUUUCACAGGGGGAUAGCCCGAAGAAAUUUGGAUUAAUACCCCAUAAUAUUAUUGGAUGGCAUCAUCUGAUAAUUAAAAUUACGAUGGUGGAAGAUGGGCAUGCGUCCUAUUAGCUAGUUGGAGUGGUAACGGCACCCCAAGGCUACGAUAGGUAGGGGUCCUGAGAGGGAGAUCCCCCACACUGGUACUGAGACAGGGACCAGACUCCUACGGGAGGCAGCAGUGAGGAAUAUUGGUCAAUGGUCGGAAGACUGAACCAGCCAUGCCGCGUGCAGGAAGAAUGCCUUAUGGGUUGUAAACUGCUUUUAUAUGGGAAGAAUAAGGCGUACGCGUACGUUGAUG